CGAAUACGUGGCGGCAGCUACACAUGCAAGUCGAGCGGUAACAUUUCUAGCUUGCUAGAAGAUGACGAGCGGCGGACGGGUGAGUAAUGCUUGGGAACAUGCCUUGAGGUGGGGGACAACCAUUGGAAACGAUGGCUAAUACCGCAUAAUGUCUACGGACCAAAGGGGGCUUCGGCUCUCGCCUUUAGAUUGGCCCAAGUGGGAUUAGCUAGUUGGUGAGGUAAAGGCUCACCAAGGCGACGAUCCCUAGCUGGUUUGAGAGGAUGAUCAGCCACACUGGAACUGAGACACGGUCCAGACUCCUACGGGAGGCAGCAGUGGGGAAUAUUGCACAAUGGGCGCAAGCCUGAUGCAGCCAUGCCGCGUGUGUGAAGAAGGCCUUCGGGUUGUAAAGCACUUUCAGUCAGGAGGAAAGGUUAGUAGUUAAUACCUGCUAGCUGUGACGUUACUG
rnacentral:rRNA from 1 species